rnacentral:rRNA from 13 species
GCCAACGCUCAAACCGCGUUGAGUGCACUCGUUCUCGUCCGAUCACGAAAAUUAGGGAGCGCUGGGCACGGAUAGUACUUGGGUGGGGUGACCGCCUGGGAACUCCGUGUGGUGUUGGCU